UCCGUUUUCUCCGGUUCUCCAUGGAUUCUGUCUAGAAGGAAGCCGUAUUUCCAAUCGUCCCUCUGGGAUAGGAGCCUUUUUGCUGUAACAGCUACAUUCAGAUCUAUGAUCCACCUGAGUUCCUUUUUCUGUGUGAUGUGAGACACUAACAGAUCGAUAUUAUGUGUUUGAUGAUGUUACUGGGGUUUAAGACGUACGUAAUCUGGGCAUGGAAACUGAUGCAGCUGAGAAUUACGUCUUGACACAAUGAACUCCAGAAGUUC